rnacentral:misc_RNA from 1 species
UCAAAUAGCGUAGGGGGUAAAAUCCCAGCGUCUAUAUCCUCUGAUUAUAUACCUCUGUUGCUUUGGCGGACCGGGCGUCAUGCCCCGGCGGUCAGGUUCCCCUGCCUGCCGAGCGUCCGUCAGAGACCCCAUUAAACCCCUUAUAACUAUAUUGUCUGAAGAAAAACA